rnacentral:tRNA from 1 species
UGGGAUAUAGCCAAGCGGUAAGGCAACGGACUCUGACUCCGUCAUUUCGUAGGUUCGAAUCCUACUAUCCCAGCGA